UCCGCAAUGGGCGAAAGCCUGACGGAGCAAUACCGCGUGAGGGAGGAAGGCUCUUGGGUUGUAAACCUCUUUUCUCAGGGAAGAACAGAAUGACGGUACCUGAGGAAUAAGCAUCGGCUAACUCCGUGCCAGCAGCCGCGGUAAUACGGAGGAUGCAAGCGUUAUCCGGAAUGAUUGGGCGUAAAGGGUCCGCAGGUGGCAUUGUAAGUCUGCUGUUAAAGAGUUUGGCUCAACCAAAUAAGAGCAGUGGAAACUACAAAGCUAGAGUGUGGUCGGGGCAGAGGGAAUUCCUGGUGUAGCGGUGAAAUGCGUAGAUAUCAGGAAGAACACCAGUGGCGAAGGCGCUCUGCUAGGCCGAGACC
rnacentral:rRNA from 1 species